rnacentral:rRNA from 1 species
AAAUGAAUUGACGGGGGCCCGCACAAGCGGUGGAGCAUGUGGCUCAAUUCGAGGCAACGCGAAGAACCUUACCUGGGCUUGACAUAUACCUGACGACCGGUUGAAAGAUCGGUCUUCCUUCGGGACGGGUAUACAGGUGCUGCAUGGCUGUCGUCAGCUCGUGUCGUGAGAUGUUCGGUUAAGUCCGGCAACGAGCGCAACCCGUGUCGUCAGUUGCCAGCAGGUAAUGCUGGGGACUCUGGCGAGACUGCCCGUGUCAAGCGGGAGGAAGGCGCGGAUGACGUCAAGUCAGUAUGGCCCUUACGCCCAGGGCUGCACACGUGCUACAAUGGGUGGUACAGAGGGACGCAAGACCGCGAGGUGGAGCAAAUCCCCAAAACCACCCCCAGUUCAGAUUGAAGUCUGCAACUCGACUUCAUGAAGUUGGAAUCGCUAGUAAAGGCGUAUCAGCAACGGCGCCUUGAAUACGUUCCCGGGCCUUGUACACACCGCCCGU